AGCUCACUAGUCGAGUGACACUGCGCCGAAAAUGUACCGGGGCUAAACAUAUUACCGAAGCUGUGGAUUGUCCUUUGGACAAUGGUAGGAGAGCGUUCUAAGGGCGUUGAAGCAUGAUCGUAAGGACAUGUGGAGCGCUUAGAAGUGAGAAUGCCGGUGUGAGUAGCGAAAGACGGGUGAGAAUCCCGUCCACCGAUUGACUAAGGUUUCCAGAGGAAGGCUCGUCCGCUCUGGGUUAGUCGGGUCCUAAGCUGAGGCCGACAGGCGUAGGCGAUGGAUAACAGGUUGAUAUUCCUGUACCACCUAUAAUCGUUUUAAUCGAUGGGGGGACGCAGUAGGAUAGGCGAAGCGUGCGAUUGGAUUGCACGUCUAAGCAGUAAGGCUGAGUAUUAGGCAAAUCCGGUACUCGUUAAGGCUGAGCUGUGAUGGGGAGAAGACAUUGUGUCUUCGAGUCGUUGAUUUCACACUGCCGAGAAAAGCCUCUAGAUAGAAAAUAGGUGCCCGUACCGCAAACCGACACAGGUAGUCAAGAUGAGAAUUCUAAGGUGAGCGAGCGAACUCUCGUUAAGGAACUCGGCAAAAUGACCCCGUAACUUCGGGAGAAGGGGUGCUCUUUAGGGUUAACGCCCAGAAGAGCCGCAGUGAAUAGGCCCAAGCGACUGUUUAUCAAAAACACAGGUCUCUGCUAAACCGUAAGGUGAUGUAUAGGGGCUGACGCCUGCCCGGUGCUGGAAGGUUAAGAGGAGUGGUUAGCUUCUGCGAAGCUACGAAUCGAAGCCCCAGUAAACGGCGGCCGUAACUAUAACGGUCCUAAGGUAGCGAAAUUCCUUGUCGGGUAAGUUCCGACCCGCACGAAAGGCGUAACGAUUUGGGCACUGUCUCAACGAGAGACUCGGUGAAAUCAUAGUACCUGUGAAGAUGCAGGUUACCCGCGACAGGACGGAAAGACCCCGUGGAGCUUUACUGUAGCCUGAUAUUGAAAUUCGGCACAGCUUGUACAGGAUAGGUAGGAGCCUUUGAAACGUGAGCGCUAGCUUACGUGGAGGCGCUGGUGGGAUACUACCCUAGCUGUGUUGGCUUUCUAACCCGCACCACUUAUCGUGGUGGGAGACAGUGUCAGGCGGGCAGUUUGACUGGGGCGGUCGCCUCCUAAAAGGUAACGGAGGCGCUCAAAGGUUCCCUCAGAAUGGUUGGAAAUCAUUCAUAGAGUGUAAAGGCAUAAGGGAGCUUGACUGCGAGACCUACAAGUCGAGCAGGGUCGAAAGACGGACUUAGUGAUCCGGUGGUUCCGCAUGGAAGGGCCAUCGCUCAACGGAUAAAAGCUACCCCGGGGAUAACAGGCUUAUCUCCCCCAAGAGUUCACAUCGACGGGGAGGUUUGGCACCUCGAUGUCGGCUCAUCGCAUCCUGGGGC
rnacentral:rRNA from 1 species